ACAUCGCCGAGUAGGAGAAGGAGCUACAGAGUGUGGAGCAGGUCAAGAUGGAGAUGCAGGAGGACUAUGUCGCGCUUGAUUUCGUACGAUUUGUCAAUCUCCAUAGUUAUGCUCUUGAGGAACUGAUAUAGAUUUAUCUUGAGAAAGACAUUAGGAUGAAACGUUUUGAUGGAGCAUGCUAAAUUUCCUAUCUGAAGAUUUUUCCGUAGGUAUUUACAAUGUCUAAACUAAAGGUAUCAGCUACAUUUCAUAUUACCAUUAAUUGUUGCAAAUUUCAUAAUA